ACAAGUUUGGCUUUGGCCUGACUCUGUGCACUGUAGUGUUUUUGGGCUGGAGACAGCCCAGAGCAAACACCUUAAAAAUGACUGAGAAAGAGAAAAGAAA
rnacentral:misc_RNA from 1 species